rnacentral:lncRNA from 1 species
CCUUUAUUUUGUUGAGUCAUAUUAGUUAGAAAUCAAUUUAGUUUGUGUUUUUAAGUGUCUUAAGUCAAGUUAUAACAUAUUUUCGUUCAAAUUCUUCCUUAGUGUUCAAAACUGCCCAGAUUGUGUUUUUAAGGCAGUUUUGAGUGUUUAGGUGCUGUUUUGAGUCUUUUGGUUUGUUUUAGUGUUUUAAAGUAUAGUUUUGCAUUUUUUGAGUCUAGUUUAGUGUUUUAAACUUUGUUUUUACGUUUUCAAGUCAGUUUCC